GAAACAUGCAUUUGAAUUUUGCUUUUCCAGAAAAUAAGCUGUUACUGCCACGGUUAGGGGUGGAAAUAGGCUAGGCCAGGCUUUCCCCUCAACAGGCUAGGGCUUUUUUGUAACAAACAAGCUUAAGUUUCACCUGUGGCCUGUUAAAGGCUUUCUUUUCAGCCUAAGCCCUACUUGUAUAAAAGUUUGACCUAACCUGAAGCCUGUUAAAGGGCCUACAUUUUUUUCAAAAACUAUAAACAGGCUAACAAGCCAAGGCUAAAAAUAGGCUUUUACAGAAAACAGGUCUAAGCCUUUAAACAGUCCGAAAACAGGCCAUAUAUACAUAAAUAAAUUCAAAAUUAUAAUAACCCAAUCCAAAAUUAUCUAAAAUACAACACAAGAUCUAAUAUAAUCUAAUUAAUCAACAAGAUAAUACCAAAUGCAACAAGGGAACAAGUUUCAUUACAAUUACAAUAAUUUUGACCAAAUAAAGGUAUAGCAGUCCGUCGCAGAUCAUCAAAUUUUCAACGUAGUUUCUUCUAUUCAAGGUGUUCUAACUAA